rnacentral:rRNA from 1 species
UACGUAGGGUGCGAGCGUUGUCCGGAAUUAUUGGGCGUAAAGAGCUCGUAGGCGGUGUGUCGCGUCUGCUGUGAAAACUCAGGGCUCAACUCUGAGCUUGCAGUGGGUACGGGCACACUUGAGUGCUGUAGGGGAGACUGGAAUUCCUGGUGUAGCGGUGAAAUACGCAGAUAUCAGGAGGAACACCGGUGGCGAAGGCGGGUCUCUGGGCAGUUACUGACGCUGAGGAGCGAAAGCAUGGGGAGCGAACAGG